GAGGAAUAUUGGUCAAUGGGCGAGAGCCUGAACCAGCCAAGUAGCGUGCAGGAUGACGGCCCUAUGGGUUGUAAACUGCUUUUGUAUGGGGAUAAAGUCAAUCACGUGUGAUUGUUUGCAGGUACCAUACGAAUAAGGACCGGCUAAUUCCGUGCCAGCAGCCGCGGUAAUACGGAAGGUCCGGGCGUUAUCCGGAUUUAUUGGGUUUAAAGGGAGCGUAGGCUGGAGAUUAAGUGUGUUGUGAAAUGUAGACGCUCAACGUCUGACUUGCAGCGCAUACUGGUUUCCUUGAGUACGCACAACGUUGGCGGAAUUCGUCGUGUAGCGGUGAAAUGCUUAGAUAUGACGAAGAACUCCGAUUGCGAAGGCAGCUGACGGGAGCGCAACUGACGCUGAAGCUCGAAGGUGCGGGUAUCGAACAGGAUUAGAUACCCUGGUAGUCCGCACAGUAAACGAUGGAUGCCCGCUGUUGGCGCCUGGCGCCGGCGGCCAAGCGAAAGCGUUAAGCAUCCCACCUGGGGAGUACGCCGGCAACGGUG
rnacentral:rRNA from 1 species